rnacentral:rRNA from 1 species
AUUGAACGCUGGCGGCAGGCCUAACACAUGCAAGUCGAACGAGUGGCGGACGGGUGAGUAAUGUCUGGGAAACUGCCCGAUGGAGGGGGAUAACUACUGGAAACGGUAGCUAAUACCGCAUACCAUCGGAUGUGCCCAGAUGGGAUUAGCUAGUAGGUGGGGUAACGGCUCACCUAGGCGACGAUCCCUAGCUGGUCUGAGAGGAUGACCGGCCACACUGGGACUGAGACACGGUCCAGACUCCUACGGGAGGCAGCAGUGGGGAAUAUUGCACAAUGGGCGCAAGCCUGAUGCAGCCAUGCCGCGUGGAUGAAGAAGGCCUUCGGGUUGUAAAGUACUGUCAGCGGGGAGGCGUUACCCGCAGAAGAAGCACCGGCUAACUCCGUGCCAGCAGCCGCGGUAAUUC